UGUGCUUCUCUUCUUCCUCCCACCCUCCACCCUCAAGUAGACCCCAGUGUCUUUCAUUCCCCAAAAGCUAACAUUUUAAACCAGCCCAAAAUAUAAUAAUUUUAAUCUGAAGUGGCAUGUGAUUUCUGUUAAUGAUAAAAAAGAUAACAUUUGAAAAGGAGUCCUUUUGAUAACCCAUGUAUUAAGGACUAAAUGUUUGUACCUUCUCCCACCCCCAGAAUCAUAUGUGAAACCCUAACAACCAAUGUGAAUGUAUUUGGAGAUAGGGUCAUAAGCAGAUGGUAGAGUUUAAAUGAGGUCAUAAGGGUGGAGCCCUAAUCUGAUAGAGCUGUUGCACUUUUCAGAAGAGGAAGAGAUACUGGAACGUGUCUCUGUCUGUGUGCAUUCAGAAAGAAGGCCAUGUGAUACAGUUUGGAUGUUGCCUCCAACCAAAUGUCAUGUCAAAAUGUAAUCUUCAGUAUUGGAGGGGAGGCAUGGUGGGGGGAGAUUGGGUCCCCCCACCCAGUGGAGGCAAGUUUCUCAUGAAUGGUUUAGCACCAUCCCCCUUGGUACUGUCUUCACAAUAGUGAGCUCUCAUGAUAUUUGGUCAUUUAAAAGUGUGUAGCACUUCCCCCUUCACGUUCUCUUGCUCCUGCUCUGGCCAUGUGACAUGCCUAUUCCCUCUUCACCUUCUGGCAUGACUGUUAAGUUUCCUGUGGCCUCCCUGGAAGCUGAGCAGAUUCCAUCAUCAUGCUUCCUGUACAGUCUGCAGAACCAUGAGCCAAUUAAGCCUCUUUUCUUUAUAAAUUACCCAGUCUGAGGUACUUCUUUAUAGCACUGCAAGAAUGGACUAAUACGCUAUGUGAAGACAAAGGGGAUGUCUGCAAGCCAGGACGAGUGCGUCUACCAGAAACUGAGUUCUGCUGGACUUUGAUCUAGGACAUCCAGCCUCCAGAAUGGAAUGUGCCAUAUGUGGAGACCUGCAUGGAAAGGAACUGAGGAUGCUCUCUCACUAAAAGCUAGAAGGAACUGAGGCCCUCAGUCAACAGUCUACAAGACACUGAAUCUUGCCAGCAGCCAAGCAGUGAGCUUGAAAGCAGAUCUAUCAUCAGCUGAACCUUCAGAUGAGACCGCAGCCUAAGCAGAUACCUUGGUUGCAGCCAUGUGAGACAACCUGAAACAGAGGGCACAGCUAAGCCUCAGCCAGGUUCAUGACCCUCUGAGGAAACUGUGAGAAAGCAAAUGUCAUUUUAAGCUAUUUAAUUUUGGAGGUAGUUUAUUACACAACAAUAAAUAACUAUUAUAAUUAUCUUGAGGAUUUAUUUCCUGGGGAGAAUACAUGGAAUUGCAUAUAUAGGUCCUCAUAUGCAGAAUACUGGUACCCUAGAGAUGUUCACCCCAGAGAUGUUUUAGGAACCUGUGAAUAUGUUACAUUAAAUGGCAAAGUUUUCCUGGAUGGUUUAAGUUUAAGAUGGAAAAGUUUUACUGGAUUAUCCAGUGGGUCCAAUCUAGUAACAUGAGUCCUUAAAAAUGGAGAAUAUUUUUUGGCCAUGAUCAGAGAGACAUGUGAUGAUGGAAAAAGUGUCAGAGAUGCAAUGUGAGGGGACUAAAACUGCUGUUGCUGACUUUAAAGAUGGAGAGAGGGGAACCCGAGUCAAGGAAUGCAAAUGGCCUCUGGAAGCUGGAAAAAGCAAGAAAUGGAUUCUCCUUUAGAGCCUGUGGAAUAAAAUGCAGUCAUGCUGACACCUUGAUUUUACCUCAGUGAGACCAAUACUGGAGUAUGACCUUCGGAGCUGAAUAAAAUUAUACGUACACAUCUUAAUUUCUUGGGAUUUGAUUACUUCUUCUGCUUUGAAAUUAGACCAAGUUUAGCCUGCCUUUGCUAUUUUGGCGUAUCUCCAAUUCUUCAUGAUUUUCUCAUAGUGUUGCCUCCAUAUGAUGCAAAAUAUCCAACCUAGCCCUGACAUGAAAACUUAAUUGAAAGUAUCCAACAGUGGGUAAGCAUCCUGACUCUGUCAUUACGUUGCAAAUUUA
rnacentral:lncRNA from 1 species